rnacentral:ncRNA from 2 species
GGACGAGAGCACGGGAGUCCGAAGGUGCGUCGGGCUGAGAGUGCGGGGUCGCCCCCGCUGACCGUUUGACCUGAUCCGGGUAAUGCCGGCGCAGGAAGGGAGUACAUCUGAUGAC